AACGCUAGCUACAGGCUUAACACAUGCAAGUCGCGGGGCAGCAUUUUCUUAGCUUGCUAAGGGAGAUGGCGACCGGCGCACGGGUGAGUAACGCGUAUCCAACCUUCCCAUGUCCACGGGAUAGCCCGUCGAAAGGCGGAUUAAUACCGUAUGAGGUCACAAGCGGGCAUCUAAUUGUGACGAAAGGUUUGGCGGACAUGGAUGGGGAUGCGUCCGAUUAGCUUGUUGGCGGGGUAACGGCCCACCAAGGCAACGAUCAGUAGGGGUUCUGAGAGGAAGGUCCCCCACAUUGGAACUGAGACACGGUCCAAACUCCUACGGGAGGCAGCAGUGAGGAAUCUUGGUCAAUGGGCGCAAGGCCUGAACCAGCCACGUAGCGUGAAGGAAGACUGCCCUUAGGGUUGUAAACUUCUUUUAUAAGGGAAUAACGUCAGUAACGAGUUACUGAUUGCAUGUACCUUAUGAAUAAGGAUCGGCUAACUCCGUGCCAGCAGCCGCGGUAAUACGGAAGGUCCGGGCGUUAUCCGGAUUUAUUGGGUUUAAAGGGAGCGUAGGCCGGCUUUUAAGCGUGUUGUGAAAUGCCGCGGCUCAACCGUGGCACUGCAGCGCGAACUGGAGGCCUUGAGUGCGCGGGAGGUAGGCGGAAUUCGUGGUGUAGCGGUGAAAUGCUUAGAUAUCACGAAGAACUCCGAUUG
rnacentral:rRNA from 1 species